GACAUCAUCACAGGUCCUGUACCUUCUCCUAUAGUACAACCAGGAGUCUGACUCGUUCUGUAAACGCAGGAAGAAAUAGAAGCACAGGACGCUCCACGGUGAAGGACACGCCCCGCCCAGGUAGCUGGAACACUCACCAGCUCCACACAUGUAAGACUCUGCAGCGCCAUCCGCAGGUUCCUACAAUAUAGGAUCCGCUCAGUGGAGAUCUUCUAUAUAAGAUCCUUCUCCCGAUUGAACCAACAAGGAUGGACAUGGACAAGAUGGUGGAGAGGAUAAUAAAUCUCACCCUAGAGAUCCUCUUCCUGCUUACUGGAGAGGACUACACAGUAGUGAAGAAGACCUCUAGUGGGUGCUGUCAGGACCCUGUGUCUGAAGG